CUGGGCAGCUGGUGAUCGUUGGUCCC
rnacentral:piRNA from 1 species